UAUCUUGGGUCCUAGGCAAAAAAAAAAAAAAGUCCAGAGACUAAAUAGGAUUUUAUUGCUAAAUAGGUGGGACUUGCUUGCUGUGUCCUGUUUUAGGAAAACAAGAUGUGUUAAGUAUUUUUUUGCCCUCUCUUUUACGUGAUGAUUGUAUGUAAUAUUUGCCUGAGUGUAUGGAUAGUUGAUGAUAUGUACUUCACUUGAAGCAUAAUGGGAUUGUGGAUGGUUGAACUUAAAUUGCUAGUGUGAAGUUUUGAAAUGAAAUCUUAGAAGGUUUUGUUCUGUGUUGCAGAACUUAAGGUCAAGCACAAGCA
rnacentral:misc_RNA from 1 species